rnacentral:other from 1 species
CUGGCGCUGCCCGGUGCGUCCAGGUCACAAGUCGCUCUGGGGCCAAUGAGUCUCUGAACGGGAGCUGUCCCUGCCGGGAUCGUGGUCUCGGCAUUACGGCGCCCACCUGCUUAGGCAGGCCACAGGGACGCUUCGACCAACGGCCAGGGUGGCGCCGCC